rnacentral:rRNA from 1 species
AGAACGAACGCUGGCGGCAGGCCUAACACAUGCAAGUCGAACGCCCCGCAAGGGGGAGUGGCAGACGGGUGAGUAACGCGUGGGAACAUACCCUUUGGUUCGGAACAACUCAGGGAAACUUGAGCUAAUACCGGAUACGCCCGAGAGGGGAAAGAUUUAUCGCCAAAGGAUUGGCCCGCGUUCGAUUAGCUAGUUGGUGAGGUAACGGCUCACCAAGGCGACGAUCGAUAGCUGGUCUGAGAGGAUGAUCAGCCACAUUGGGACUGAGACACGGCCCAAACUCCUACGGGAGGCAGCAGUGGGGAAUAUUGGACAAUGGGCGAAAGCCUGAUCCAGCCAUGCCGCGUGAGUGAUGAAGGCCCUAGGGUUGUAAAGCUCUUUCGUCAGGGACGAUAAUGACGGUACCUGAAGAAGAAGCCCGGCUAACUUCGUGCCAGCAGCCGC